GCCAGUGUGUUGUAGUGGUUUGAGCGUUGGACUACAACUCUGAAGACCAAGGUUCAAUUUCCUGCUCAGCCA